AAGUCGUAAUAAGGUUUCCGUAGGUGAACCUGCGGAAGGAUCAUUAGCGAGAGCCUGCCGCAGACUCGUGCGAGUCUGUGCACACGCGCGCCAUCCUUGUGUUGUGUGUGACGUGUUGUGUGCGCAAUGCCACUGUUGCCAAGGUGGCGGUGGUGUCUGCGCAUGCGCAUUUUUUUCACUCCAUUUCAUUGCAUUGUUGAGCUGAUUUGUUUCUUACUCGGGCGGGGUAACACCCCUCUGAGAAGAAAUUGAAUUACGAAACAAUAAAGAACAACUCUUAGCAACGGAUAUCUUGGUUCUC
rnacentral:misc_RNA from 1 species